rnacentral:rRNA from 1 species
AUUGAACGCUGGCGGCAGGCUUAACACAUGCAAGUCGAGCGAGCGGCGGACGGGUGAGUAAUGUCUGGGAAACUGCCUGAUGGAGGGGGAUAACUACUGGAAACGGUAGCUAAUAACGCAUACCAUCAGAUGUGCACAGAUGGGAUUAGCUAGUAGGUGGGGUAAUGGCUCACCGAGGCAACGAUCCAUAGCUGGUCUGAGAGGAUGACCCGCCACACUGGAACUGAGACAAAGUGCAGACUACUACGGGAGGUAGCAGUGGGGAAUAUUGCACAAUGGGCGCAAGCCUGAUGCAGCCAGGCCGAGUGUGUGAAGAAGGCCUUCGGGUGGUAAAGCACUUUCAGCGAGGAGGCGUUACUCGCAGAAGAAGCACCGGCUAACUCCGUGCCAGCAGCCGCGGUAAUAC